rnacentral:rRNA from 1 species
UACGGAGGGUGCAAGCGUUAUCCGGAUUUACUGGGUUUAAAGGGUGCGUAGGUGGCGUCGUAAGUCGGGUGUGAAAUUUCGGAGCUCAACUCCGAAACUGCAUUCGAUACUGCGGUGCUUGAGGACUGGAGAGGAGACUGGAAUUUACGGUGUAGCAGUGAAAUGCGUAGAGAUCAUGAGGAAGACCAGUGGCGAAGGCGGGUCUCUGGACAGUUCCUGACACUGAGGCACGAAGGCCAGGGGAGCAAACGGG